GUUGUCGUGGCCGAGUGGUUAAGGCGAUGGAUUUGAAAUCCUUUGGGGUUUCCCCGGGCAGGUUCAAGUCCUGCCGACAACG